AUUGAACGCUGGCGGCAUGCUUUACACAUGCAAGUCGAACGGUAACAGCACUUCGGUGGCUGACGAGUGGCGAACGGGUGAGUAAUACAUCGGGACGUGCCUAGUAGUGGGGGAUAACUACUCGAAAGAGUAGCUAAUACCGCAUGAGAUCUAGGGAUGAAAGCAGGGGACCUUCGGGCCUUGCGCUACUAGAGCGGCUGAUGGCAGAUUAGGUAGUUGGUGGGAUAAAAGCUUACCAAGCCGACGAUCUGUAGCUGGUCUGAGAGGACGACCAGCCACACUGGGACUGAGACACGGCCCAGACUCCUACGGGAGGCAGCAGUGGGGAAUUUUGGACAAUGGGCGCAAGCCUGAUCCAGCAAUGCCGCGUGCAGGAUGAAGGCCUUCGGGUUGUAAACUGCUUUUGUACGGAACGAAAAGCCCUCUUCUAAUACAGGAGGGUCAUGACGGUACCGUAAGAAUAAGCACCGGCUAACUACGUG
rnacentral:rRNA from 1 species